rnacentral:tRNA from 1 species
CGGGCUGUAGUAUAAUGGUAUUAUACAUGGCUGGGGGUCAUGCGACCCGGGUUCAAUUCCCGGCAGCCCGA